CUUCUAGCUAUUUAGACUACAGUGUGUUUCAAAGGGCACCUGCACCUGGUCUCAGUAUUCCCGCCAAAACCAUAGAAAAUCACCUUUCUUGAGUUUGAAACUGCACCCUGAUGAGAACAGUUGGCCUAGAUGUUAUGGAGACAUCCAUGAUGUGAAUUGCAUAGAUACUAUUACCAAUGGGCUAAAAGACAACACAAAACUGUGCAUCAAUAAGGCAUUACUGUAUAUGCAUGAAGAGGACAGAGCCAACAAAUGAUCUCACAAGCCAAUUAAAGCUAAGAAAUACACAGAAUUUGCAUAAAAGGCUAGAUGCAAACAUUUGCCAGAACCACCAACCAAGAUUACCUACAUUCAGAGAAGAUUGUGGUGUUACAAUUCCAGGAAGUCAGCAUCUGUCAUAGAUUGGGGCUUCUUUCUCUCUCCUGAUUGGUGACUGUGAAGCUGUUUCCCUGAUUGGUUCAAUCUUUACUAGCUGGUUGGGCCAAGAUAGGAAUAGAACUCUCUAAUCAGGUGUAAAUGUCUUGGUUGUCUCUUAGGAAGCCUACUGCUGCUGCACAUGAUCAGUUGGAAGCUGGAGUGACCUGCGCUGCGAUUGGCCCACUUCCCCACAGGGAGGGAUGCUGCAAAUAAGAGAGGCUCCUUCUUCUGUUGCUAUGACUGGGUUGGAGUUGGUGGUUGCUAUGAAGCUCUCAGAGUUAAGAACAGAUUGACACGUGCCCAGUCAUUUUUUAUGUAUAGCCCGAGAUGGGUUCAAAUGCACUCAACCAGUGGGAAUUCCCCCAUGGAGUUAGUUGCUAUGUUAGAUCUCUCUCCAAAUCAUCAGCCAAUCUGAUAAAAACCCAAUAACACACUUCACUGCUCUUGUGACCAUAAUUAAGUCCUGGAUACCUACACACAAUUUACUCUUUUACAAUUUGUAAUACAGUAUUGUGUGCAUAUGCAAUGAAUAGCCUAUGUGGUUUCAAACAAACACAAAUUCAUAUUUUAUUCCUUUGCAUUAGGCCCAUUUAAAUUUCAGGCCAUGUGUCUACAGGGGUCAUUAAUUAGGAGAAAAUCAAUGGCUGAAUUAUGCAUACAAAUGCAUUCAAUAAAUAAAUCCACGAUUUGAAUAUAAAGAUUACAGGAUGGUUGACAAAGCAUGAAUAUGGAAAACCGGUUCUGAAGUUUUAUAAAUAUGUAUUAACCUCCGGAGUUGGGUAACUAUCUGGAUUCACCAUUUGUGCAAUUUUGGAAAAGUACUGCACUGGAUGCAUUGGCCUCCUGUGUUUAAACAUGUUUACAUAUUUAAGAGUAAUGCUGUGCGGUGGCUUAAUGCCACUGCAUAGUUUGAGAGGCAUGCCGACCGCUUUACUCCCUAAUCCGGGCCAGAUUAAAUCAUAUGAUCUGUAUCAAUCUAUGUUUGGUGGGCAUAGAUUAAACGGGCUCACGGAGGAAAUGCUUGCAAAGAGCCACAAACACCCACCGCAAACAUCAGCAGCAGCAUCUCCUAAUUUAGUGGGAUUGGAAGUUGUUUAACCAGAUGAAAAUGGGUUUAUAUUAACGCGACACUGAUGAGAACACGAAUAAAUCAUUU